rnacentral:rRNA from 1 species
UACGUAGGAUGCGAGCGUUGUCCGGAAUUAUUGGGCGUAAAGAGAACGUAGGUGGUUUCUUAAGUUUGGGCUUAAAGACUGGGGCUUAACCCCAGGACUGGCUCGAAAACUGGGAGACUAGAGGAUGUCAGAGGAAAGUGGAAUUCCGAGUGUAGCGGUGAAAUGCGUAGAUAUUCGGAGGAACACCAGUGGCGAAAGCGACUUUCUGGGACAUUCCUGACACUGAGGUUCGAAAGCUCGGGGAGCAAACAGG